rnacentral:rRNA from 1 species
UACAGAGGGUGCAAGCGUUAAUCGGAUUUACUGGGCGUAAAGCGUGCGUAGGCGGUUCAUUAAGUCGGUUGUGAAAUCCCUGGGCUUAACCUGGGAACUGCAGUCGAUACUGAUGGACUAGAGUAUGGCAGAGGGGGGUGGAAUUCCACGUGUAGCAGUGAAAUGCGUAGAGAUGUGGAGGAACACCGAUGGCGAAGGCAGCCCCCUGGGCCAAUACUGACGCUCAUGCACGAAAGCGUGGGGAGCGAACAGG